UACAGAGGUGGCAAGCGUUGUUCGGAAUUACUGGGCGUAAAGGGCGCGUAGGCGGCCUUCUAAGUCGAACGUGAAAUCCCCAGGCUUAACCUGGGAACUGCAUCCGAUACUGGAUGGCUUGAAUCCGGGAGAGGGAUGCAGAAUUCCAGGUGUAGCGGUGAAAUGCGUAGAUAUCUGGAGGAAUACCGGUGGCGAAGGCGGCAUCCUGGACCAACACUGACGCUGAGGCGCGAAAGCUAGGGGAGCAAACGGG
rnacentral:rRNA from 1 species